ACAGGGUGAGCUUUUGUGAUCGCUUUUCGUCCGGCGUCCGUCCGUCCGUCCGUCCGUCGUCCGUCCGUCGUCCGUCCGUAAACUUUUGCUUUAAAUGACAUCUCCUCAUUAACCACUGAGCCAAUUUCAUCCAAACUUCACAGGAAUGUUCCUUUGGUGGUCACCUUUAAAAAUUGUUCAAAGAAUUUAAUUCCAUGCAGAACUCUGGUUGCCAUGGCAACCCAAAGAAAAAUCUUUAAAUAUCUUCUUUUAAACAACCCUAAGAGCUAGAGCUUAGAUAUUUGGCAUGAAACAUCUUCUAGUGGGUGUCUACCAAGUUUGUUCAAAUAAAAGCCCUGGGGUCAAAAUUGGCCCCGCCCCAGCGGGUCAUUGAUUUUCCCUAUAUGCAUAUAGUAAAAACUUAAAAAAUCUUCUUUUAAAGAACCCAAAGAGCUAGAGCUAAGAUAUUUGGCAUGAAACAUCUUCUAGUGAGUGUCUACCAAGUUUGUUCAAAUAAAAGCCCUGGGGUCAAAAUUGGCCCCGCCCCGGGGGGUCAUUGAUUUUCCCUAUAUGCAUAUAGUAAAACCUUAAAAAAUCUUCUUUUAAAGAACCGUAAGAGCUAGAGCUUAGAUAUUUGGCAUGAAACAUCUUCUAGUGAAUGUCUACCAAGUUUGUUCAAAUAAAAGCCCUGGGGUCAAAAUUGGCCCCGCCCAGGGGGUCAUUGAUUUUCCCUAUAUGCAUAUAGUAAUAUCUUAAAAAAAUCUUCUUUUAAAGAACCAUAAGAGCUAGAGCUUAGAUAUUUGGCAUGAAACAUCUUCUAGUGAAUGUCUACCAAGUUUGUUCAAAUAAAAGCCCUGGGGUCAAAAUUGGCCCUGCCGGGGGGGGGUCAUUGAUUUUCCCUAUAUGCAUAUAGUAAAACCUUAAAAAAUCUUCUUUUAAAGAACCGUAAGAGCUAGAGCUUAGAUAUUUGGCAUGAAACAUCUUCUAGUGAAUGUCUACCAAGUUUGUUCAAAUAAAAGCCCUAGGGUCAAAAUUGGCCCCGCCCCAGGGGGUCAUUGAUUUUCCCUAUAUGCAUAUAGUAAAAACUUAAAAAAUCUUCUUUUAAAGAACUAUAAGAGCUAGAGCUUAGAUAUUUGGCAUGAAACAUCUUCUAGUGAAUGUCUACCAAGUUUGUUCAAAUAAAAGCCCUGGGGUCAAAAUUGACCCGCCCCAGGGGGUCAUAGAUUUUCCCUAUAUGCAUAUAGUAAAAACUUAAAAAUUUUCUUUUAAAGAACCCAAAGAGCUAGAGCUAAGAUAUUUAGCAUGAAACGUCUUCUAAUGAGUGUCUACCAAGUUUCUUCAAAUAAAAGCCCUGGGGUCAAAAUUGGCCCCGCCCCAGUGGGUCAUUGAUUUUCCCUAUAUGCAUAUAGUAAAAACUUAAAAAAUCUUCUUUUAAAGAACUCAAAUAGCUAGAGCUAAGAUAUUUAGCAUGAAACAUGUUCUAAUGGGUGUCUACCAAGUAUGUUCAAAUAAAAGCCCUGGGGUCAAAACUGGCCCUGCCCAGGGGGUCAUUGAUUUUCCUUAUAUGUGUAUAGCUUAAAAAUCUUCUUUGAAAAAACCCAAAUAGCUAGAGUUUAGAUAUUAAGCAUGAAACAUCUUUAAGUAAAUAUCUACAAAGUUUGUUCAAAUAAAAGCCUGGGGGUCAAAACUGGCCCUGCCCCAGGGGUGUCAUUGUUUUUAACUAUAUGUGUAUAGUAAAAACUUUAAAAAUCUUCUUUUAAAUAAUCCAAUGAGCUAGAACUUAGAUGUUUAGCAUGAAACAUCUUCUUAUGGGUGUCUACCAAGUCUGUUCAAAUAAACAAAUAAAAGCCCUUGGGUAAAAAUUGGCCCGGGGGUGGGGGGGGCCUAUAUACAGGUGAGCGACCUCAGGGCCAUCAUGGCCCUCUUGUUUUGGUUUUGUUUGCUAUGUUGCCAGUCAUACCAAUACUAUUAAGAUUAUAAUUAGGGAGAUUUUCAAGUUUUUCCUGCACAGGAAGACAUCAUGUGCCCUUUCAAGCAUUAUUUUAAGCACAAGGGGGCACCUGACUGGAACAACUGACUUUCCUUAAGCAAAUUUGUAGGAUGAGAAAUUCAUGUUCUUUAUUUAGUGAACUUAUUUAGUGACUUGAUUUAAAGAAUAAUGUAAUUUAUAUUUUCCGGGACUGAUGGAGUGCACAAAGAAGAAAACUAGAGAUCAAUUGCAGCAGACUGUAGGCGACUGUUUGUAAUUUUGGAGUUGUUUGCAUUUCAUCAAAUGACAAUUCUUGACAUUCAAACAGCUCAGAUGAUACUGUAGAAUGCUCCAUGGAGUACUGUUUACCGAUUACCCUUUACCAGAAGAAGAUGUCAAUAACUUUGGACAGACAGCUCACUAAAUACUGUAGAGUGAUGAUAGAUGGACACUAUUUAGUUGAACCAUAAAAAGGGAAACCUAUCUUAGCAAGUACAGAUCAUAUAAAGAUGACAGAAACUACAUAUAUACAUGGCAGACAUAGGAAGCAUACUUCAAACUAUGGAUGUGUAAUAGAAGAAAAGACAUUAUGCAUAUAUUAUCACUUGGAAGGGAUAUGUCAAUCACCAACUUUAUAUUUUGUUGUGAACAUUUAAUUAACCUGCUGAAUUUCUUAAACUUUUUCAUGUAAAUUUUUCAAUAAAUCAGUUUUCAUUCUAGUUAAGUUGGGGGAGAGUUGAGUGAAGAGUUGAAGAGGAAAAUUGAGUGCUGGGUUAAGGGGAGAGCUGAGGUUAUGGGGAGUUGAGUUUAUGGGAGUUGAGAUUACAGGGAAAGUUAACAUUACGGGGAGAGUCGAGUUUAGGUUAUAGGGACAGUUGAGUUCAGUUGAGUUUAAGAGGAGAGUUGAGGUAA